ensembl:lncRNA Novel transcript
GCCACUGCAUUUGAGGAAUGGAAAAAUAAACCAAAAUCGUUCAUCGGGCCUGAGAAACCUUGAGAAGCAUAUUACCCUACGGUUGUUUUUUCAUCGAAAAGUUGAAGGAUUUCUGACAUCUCAAUUAGUAACGCAUCUGGAAUGUUUGCUCUCCAGGAAUAGAUGUACCCACCAAAAGCCUUGCUUGCAGCCACCUCCACGUCUCUCAACCUGCCUGAGUGCAGGGCUUAUGUUACAAGGAAUUCUCAAAGCUGUGUUAUCAAAGCUGUGAAAUCAAAGUCUCUACCCCUCUGAAGUUUACCCGGAUGGCCUGACUCAUCCCAGAAGUGGUGGAGUCUACGUCCCCUCUCCUGGAGACUGAGUGGAGCUUUGUGACUGCUGCAGCCAUUGGAGUAUGGCAGAAGUGCUGUUAUGUCACUUAUGAGAUUGGAUCAUAAAAAUGCCACACACUUCCUUCCUCUCUUGGAAUGCUGAGGCCAUGUUGUGAGGAAGUCCAAUGAGCCCCUGUGGAGAGACCAUAUAGAAUGACUACUUUGAGAUGUUCCAGCUUACAGCCCUGCUCGGCCCUAGCCAACAGCCAGCAUCUUUCACCAGACAUAUGAGUGACGACCCUCCAGAUGAUUCCAGCUUCCAGCCAGUGAAUCACAUCUAGCUUUCAAGUCUUCCCAGCCGAGGCCCCAAGCAUUGUGAAGCAGAGAAUGACCUCAUGUCUUUCUACCUGAAGCCUGCUAUACCAUUUGUUGCACACAACUUCUACAAUCUCUAUGGACUUUAUACAAUGUACUUAAUAAUGAAAAGCACUGAAGAGAGAGGAAGAAACAGGGAAAAGGGAGACCAAGUCAUAUCAGGAUUUGAAUUUGAAAAUCAUCCAGGAAAUCAGAUGAUGCCUGGAAGUGUAUUAACUAUCCUGAGCUGACAACAUGCCGACCCACUAAUGGAAAAUUGUGACUAACACACCUGCCAGGUUACUAGAUUUUUCCCUUCAUAGAUAUUUUCUUGGUGCAUGUUUGAAUGAAUGGAUGAUUAAUUGAUAAGAUUUUAAAAGAGUUCGGUUGACACCAAUCAUAACUGGAAGCAAAAGAGAUUCAUCUGAGUUCUUUCAAAUUAUGCUUGCCUGACACCUUCUCCACUUCAACUUGUUGAAAGGCCCAGGGUGAAUCACCUGCCUGCACAAUAUAACAAAGGGAACAGCACAUGCACCCAUGGGCCUCUGCUAAUCUCUGGGCUGACCUCUGUUAGCCCCAUGGUUAUUCUGGUCUAGACAGGCUUAUGCUGAGAAAUACUUUACAUUUUCUGAAGACAAGUGUUAUGUAAUUCUGGUGCUUAGAGAAUACUUAAAUGAUUCUUCCAAAUUGUGCUCCUAAUUUCUGAAUGUCAUCAAACGUCAAACUAGUAUUUUUUAGUUUUGUGUAAUACAAAAGUAUCUCUGUUUUGUAUGAUAUAAAAGUAUUUUUUAGUUUCGGAUAACUGAAAAAUACAAAAGUCAUUUUUAAUUAGUUACCUGUCAUUGUAAACAUUCAGUUCCUGUUCUUUGAAAAGAUUUGUCUCUGUAGUUCUUCAAACAUUUAUAAUAAUCCAAGGGGAGCUAGAAAAUGUCAGGCACAAGGAGAUGGAGGACGUCUAAGUUAGGGUGCCCAGGCUUUAGAGAGCAACUUCAUUUAUGUGUUAGUUUGACACUGUAUCUGAGAUGCAGAGCAAGUAUGAUGAAAGCUUUUAAAAAAAAAUCCAACCAGACAGAUCAGAUUGACAGCAGAGGUAAAAUGUGACCCUUGUGCAGUCUGAUAAGUAACAUUUCUUAAACUUGUCACAUAAAACAUUCUGUUAUGCUUCAGGCUGUUGAAAAUAAUUUCAUGCACAGGAGCAUAGUCACCUGAGGCAAUUCUGUUGUUCUGCAACAGCCUUAGGACAAAUGAACAGCUUGGAGGUGGAAAUUUUGGGUUAUCAUAUGAUUGUAAUCAUUACCCAGACUGAACAAGAGUGAUUCGGUAGAGUGAGAACGAUAGCAAUGUGGAUUAACCUACUUUCACUUUUUAAUGACUAUUUCUUCUACCCCAAAGAUCAAAGAAUAUUUGUCAUUGAGAAAAUUUCAGAUGUUCUUUAAAAGGCACAUUUCUUUUUUAAAAAGCUGACCCGUUUUGUGUUUAUUCCACAAGAUUUUCAAAUGUAUUCUGUUGUAUCAACAAAUUUGCUCAAUCAUCUAGGAGAAAGGCUAACAAAUAAUUCAAGGACUUCAAAUGCUUUUAUGCAGAAGAGGGAAAAUACUCAAAUCACUUAGGUAUUUGCAUACAGAUUUCCUGUGAUACUUCCAAACCUAAGUGCUUCCCUGAAUAUUGACCUUGAGAAAGGGGCUGGAAUUGAAGACACAGAGGGAGCCAGGGGAACUGACAAAAGCUCUUAUGCUUUCUCUCUUAUCUCAGAGAUAUGGCAUUUUACCUACGGAGAAGUGGUCAUUAUGAGACGUUUUUUCCCCCAUAUAUAGUUCAGUUGAAAUUAGUGAUAGGAGCAUAAUCAGAAUCAAUUAUUGAUUAUAGAAAGUUCAGCAUUAAAUGAAAGCAGGGAGAAGGUGAUUGAGCUGCUACAUUUCCCCAGUGUUUCCUUCUGUGUUUAUAGUAGUUACGGAAUCACCUCACACAUCCCCAGAAAGUUUAAGAUUGAUAAGAGGAAAAGACACUCAGGUGUUUUUUGUUUGUUUGAUUGAUUGAUUGAUUGAUUGAUUUUGCGACAGGGUUUCACUCUGUUGCCCAGGCUGGAGUGCAGUGGCAUGAUCAUGGCUCACUGCAGUCUCAACAUCCCGGGUUCAAAUGAUUCUCCUGUCUCAGACUACAGAGUAACUGGGGUUAUGGACGUCUGCCACCAUGCCUGGCUAAUUUUUUUUGUAUUUUUAUUAGAGACGGGAUUUCACUAUGUUGCCCAGGCUGGUCUCAAACUCUUGACCUCAAGUGAUCCAUUCACCUCAGCCUCUCAGUGUUGGGAUUACAGGCAUGAGCCACCACGCCUAGCCCACUCAGGCGUUUUUCAGCUGAACUAUUGUCUCUAAUUUCCCCAGAACAAUCACAGAAUAUUUCUCUGAACCCAUUAGCUGAACAAUGCUAUAAAAAUUUGGUGCUGGGAUAUUAUAAAUUAUGAAUUAGAUGGUCAAAACAUUACUUUGAAUUUCAUCAUAUUGUUGAAUUGUAUUUUUUUGCCCAAACAUUAAAUAAUGGCUAAGAUAAUUAAUGAGAAAUGAACGUAUACAUUUAUCAACUGUGCUUUUGUUUAACCUUUUAAGUAGCCCUGUUUUUAAUUGAGUAUUGCUGUCUGGGUUUCACAAGCACCAAACUUUAGCAUACUAACAAUUUUAAUCAUUAGUCAGACUUGGUCUUGAGCUGUAACAUAUGAAACCCAGUAGAAAUGUGGUAGGAUUAGGGUAGGACACGGUGGCUCAGCCUGUAAUCCCAGCACUUUGGGAGGCCGAGGUGGGCAGAUCACUUGAGGCCAGGAGUUUGAGACCAGCUUGGCUAACAUGGUGAAACCCCACCUGUACUAAAAAUACA